CACAUGCAAGUCGAACGGCAGCACGGGUGCUUGCACCUGGUGGCGAGUGGCGAACGGGUGAGUAAUACAUCGGAACAUGUCCUGUAGUGGGGGAUAGCCCGGCGAAAGCCGGAUUAAUACCGCAUACGAUCUACGGAUGAAAGCGGGGGGCCUUCGGGCCUCGCGCUAUAGGGUUGGCCGAUGGCUGAUUAGCUAGUUGGUGGGGUAAAGGCCUACCAAGGCGACGAUCAGUAGCUGGUCUGAGAGGACGACCAGCCACACUGGGACUGAGACACGGCCCAGACUCCUACGGGAGGCAGCAGUGGGGAAUUUUGGACAAUGGGCGAAAGCCUGAUCCAGCAAUGCCGCGUGUGUGAAGAAGGCCUUCGGGUUGUAAAGCACUUUUGUCCGGAAAGAAAUCCUUGGUUCUAAUAUAGCCGGGGGAUGACGGUACCGGAAGAAUAAGCACCGGCUAACUACGUGCCAGCAGCCGCGGUAAUACGUAGGGUGCGAGCGUUAAUCGGAAUUACUGGGCGUAAAGCGUGCGCAGGCGGUUUGCUAAGACCGAUGUGAAAUCCCCGGGCUCAACCUGGGAACUGCAUUGGUGACUGGCAGGCUAGAGUAUGGCAGAGGGGGGUAGAAUUCCACGUGUAGCAGUGAAAUGCGU
rnacentral:rRNA from 1 species